rnacentral:piRNA from 1 species
CUUCUCCAGGGUCUGUCCCCAGUAAGC